UCUCUGGUUUAAGUCCAUUUAGUCUGUGAAAGGUGUUCCAUUAAAUGAGGUGCUCACACUCAUCAUCAUCAUCUCUCUCCCUCUCUCUCUCUCUCUCUCUCUCUCUCUCUCUCUAUAUAUAUAUAUAUAUAUAUAUAUAGCAACUGUUCAUUAGGUGUUAUAUAUCUGAGCUACUUCCCUGCACUUGGUAAAUAAGUUUUGGUUGCAUCUUAUAUACAAUAAGAGGCAUGUAGAACCCUCUCAAUUAUGGUCAUCUUUUUAUUUGAUUGCUUCUAUGUUCCAUAUGACAACCUUUCUGAUAUGUUUCAUUAAGAGGGUUAUUUGUGUAUUUAAUUCUACAAGUAGACUUGCCAUUUGCAAGUAGUAGAUGGUUCAUUAUUAGUCAUUAGAUCUGUGUUUCACCUUCUUGCUCAAGUAGACUUUCUGAUAUAUUCCAUAACAUAGACUAUUGCAUAUUUUUCUAAAAUAUUAUCUAAAAGGCAAUACAAACUACAAAGAGCAUCUCAACAAAAUGUCAAAUAACCUGAAUUGAUAUUAAGUAGGUUUAGCCAUGCUAGGAUGAAUUAAGUUAUUGUUAAGUCUAAGCUCAAUGAAACAGAAGAACAUUUCAUGGAUUAUCCUUUCUCUAUCUCUCUCACACACACACAAAUUCAGAUUUUUAUUGAAGGCCUGAUAUUAGUUGUUUAAUAUGAAAUUGUUUAUUCUCUCUCUCUCUCUCUCUCUCUCUCUCUCUCUCUCUCUCUCUUUCUCUCCCUCUCUCUCUAGCAAGUUCAGAUUUAUAUUAAGCAAGGCCUGAUACUAGUUAUUUAAUGUGGAAUUGUUUAAUCUCUCUCUAGCAAGUUGAGAUUUGUAUUGACUAUUGAGUAAGCAAGGUCAUUCAUUUGCAAAUGCACUUGCUAAACAAGGGGUGGGAAGAGAUCAGUUACUUUGGGCUACAUUGUAAUGUUGUAUAUUUUUUGGGGGGAGUUAAGAGAGUUUACCUCCCCCAUGCUUCUGUUCAAGUAUCUUUGGGAGAAAGAACAUGGCCUCCUGCGGCUGGUUAUUCAUUUGUCUGUUGGUUUCAGUAUCGAAAUUUCUUCAAAUUACAGACAAAGGACCCAGAAAAUCCUUUGCAAACUGGUUCUUCUAAAAAGCGAAGUACCUCUAAUGGUCAGCAACUGGGAUGUCAUAUUCUCUGGAUCUUUUCUGUUGGUGCAGUGGAUGAUAGCAACACAUUCUAUACAGAAUUUUAUCUUCAGGAUGAUGGUGUUUUAACUCUUCCAACCAGCAGCUCCCGUUCCUUGUCUUUUUUGGAUUGGAAUUGGAGGGAAGGCAGGUGGCAUCACCUUGCUGUUGUCCAUAGUAAACCUAAAGCUUUAGCUGGAUUUUUCCAAACUAGUGUAGCAUAUGUGUAUAUCAACGGAAAACUGAGACAUACAGGAAAAUUAGGGUAUUCACCAUCCCCAGCGGGGAAAUCCUUGCAGGUAACAAUUGGGACACCAGUUACUUGUGCAAAAGUUAGUGAAUUGUCAUGGAGACUCCGCUGCUGUUAUCUUUUUGAUGAGGUUCUGACAUCAGGUAGUAUUUGCUUAAUGUAUGUUCUUGGUAGAGGAAUAGAGGGCUCUUCCAAGAUACAGAUCUUUUACAAUUUGUUCCUAACCAUGCUUGUGGUGGGGGUAGCAUGGCUAUCUUGGAUUCAUUGGAUGCUGAGUUACCUAUGGUAUCGAACAUUCAAAAGCUUGACAAUGGUGCUAAACAAGGGAACCCUAAGUUUGAUGGUAGUGGGAUUGUUUGGGACUUAGAGAGACUUGGAAACCUUUCAUUACAGAUUUCUGGAAAGAAGCUUAUAUUUGCAUUCGAUGGAACAUCCUCAGAAGCUUUUCGAGCCACUGGGACUCUUUCUAUUCUCAGUUUAGUUGAUCCAUUGUCAGCUGCUGCUUCUCCUAUUGGGGAUAUGAAAGCGGGGAUGAGCCAGAUGUUUCGAAGUUUCACUAUGGUUCACAUUCUUCUAGUGGGGGAAUUGUAUUAUUUUAUCUUUUACGCCUUCCCCCAUUCAGUACAGAGAAUCAGAAGCUGCAAGGAGGCCAAUUUGACCAUGCCGAUCGCCUUUUCAAUAAUGUAAGAGAUACAUGGUUAAGUGCAGCAGGGAAGGGUAAUACAUCAGAUGUGAAAGAGCUCAUUCCAGAAUUCUUUUACAUGCCCGAGUUCCUGGAAAACCGGUUUAAUCUUGAUUUAGGGGAGAAACAAUCAGGAGAGAAGGUUGGUGAUGUUCUGUUGCCACCAUGGGCCAAAGGCAGUGCCAGAGAGUUCAUCAGGAAGCACCGGGAAGCUUUGGAAUCAGAUUAUGUUUCAGAAAAUCUGCAUAAUUGGAUAGAUCUUAUCUUUGGAUAUAAACAGAGGGGAAAGGUAGUUACUGAAAUUUCCUUUGUUUAGGCCUUUUUCUGCAUUG